AAAUAAAGAAACGCAAUCGAUGCGUCAAGGCGACCCGGUAAAAACCAAGCAAUCGCCGUUUAAAAAUAAGAAAAUCGACUCCAUGCACCACAGUCUAGGUAACCAUGGAAAUUAUUAAGUGAACCAAACAGACUUGCAGUGUGGUCAUGGCAGGUAAAGGUAGUUCGGCUACGGUAAAGUGCAACACAAGUCGAUUGUGUGCAUAUAAGUGUCCAGAUUGAAAUAAAACUGGAUGUUAAGAGUACACAAAUUGUAAAAGUAUAGAAUACCGUACCAAUCAAGUAUGCAAAUAACAAAAUAUUGACACUUUGAGGCAGAAACAAGCUAGUAGUGUGAAAGCUAAAAUGUUGACCUGGACUAACAAGUGUUUUGAUGCUGGAGUCAAAGAUUCACAUACGGGAAUUGUAUAGACAUGAGGAAAAUAUACAUCGAAAUAUUCAGCAGUAUUAAUACAACACAAUGAAGUGAUUUGGAUCGAGACAAAUGAUGAGCUGGCAAUGACGAAAAGAUUUGCUGGGACCACAUCAACUGGAUGUAGAGGCAGUGGAAAGGUAAAGGGAGCGCAUGAAUUUUUUGUAUUUGAAUUUGAAAGUGUCAUAACUACAGUUACGUAAGUUUAAGGGAAUAUUAUUCCAAGUUACCACACCUUUAUAUUUCAAGGAGUUUUGGGAUUUGCUUAGAGAAAAUCUGGGUACAAAUAAAUUAGACCUUGUCGAAGAGCGUGUGUUAUGAUCAUGCACUUUA